CUUCUAUUUCUGUUCUUCACUGUGUCACAUUGUCUCUUCCCUCUCCGCGCCAUGAAAAUCAUGCUUGCACUCUGAUACUUCAUCUCUCUCUCUCGCUCUAGAAGCUUCCGAUUCAUGGCUACGUCUUCUCCUCUUCCCUUACCAGAACUCCACUUUCUUUCUCCACAAAUCACUCCCAAACGCCGUCUUUCACUCUCCAAACUUCCCUCCUCUGCUUCUUCCAUCUCCCGCCACGUCACCUCCAAUAUCAUUCUUCGCACCACGCCAAUCCGCGCCACCAGAGAAGAAUCCGUGUUGGCCGAGCGAGUGAACGACGUGGAAUGGAGCGGAAACGGAGUUGCUGCCGUUAGCGGAAAUGAUCGAGGCGGCACCGACGGCAAUGGCACGGUAGAAGGAUACGUUAACGGCGCCGCUAACGGAAGCUUGGUGAAGUACGGUUACGAAAGCGGAAAUGGAAAUGGUGUAGCUGCAGAGGUGUUGGAGGUUGAAGCCUUUAAGCUGAGAGAGGAUGGGAGGAAGAAAAGGUUGGAGGAGAUUGGAAAAGAAGAUGCGUGGUUUAAACAAACUGGGAAGGAACAGGUUGAGGUAGCAGUUGCACCUGGAGGUCGUUGGAGCAGGUUCAAGACUUACUCUACAAUCCAGAGGACCUUGGAAAUUUGGGGAUUUGUUGUGACAUUCAUUUUUAAGUCCUGGCUGAACAACCAGAAGUUCUCUUACAAAGGAGGAAUGACUGACGAAAAGAAAACCUUAAGGCAGAAGGCCCUUGCAAAGUGGCUGAAGGAAAGCAUUCUAAGAUUAGGUCCUACAUUCAUCAAAAUUGGCCAGCAAUUCUCCACCAGGGUGGACAUUCUUCCUCAAGAAUAUGUUGACCAGUUGUCUGAGCUUCAGGAUCAAGUUCCUCCAUUUCCUUCGGCAACUGCUAUAGCUAUUGUUGAAGAAGAGCUUGGAGCUCCUUUAGGUGAUAUCUUUGAUCAGUUUGACUAUGAACCCAUAGCUGCUGCAAGUCUUGGUCAGGUUCAUCGGGCAAGAUUAAAGGAACAGGAGGUUGUUGUUAAAGUACAAAGGCCCGGUCUCAAGGAUCUUUUUGAUAUUGAUCUUAAAAACUUGAGGGUUAUUGCUGAAUAUCUUCAAAAAAUUGAUCCAAAAUCUGAUGGUGCAAAGAGGGAUUGGGUUGCUAUUUAUGAUGAAUGUGCCUCUGUCUUAUAUCAGGAGAUUGAUUACACCAAGGAAGCUUCUAAUGCAGAAUUGUUUGCUAGUAAUUUUAAGAACAUGGAUUAUGUGAAAGUUCCUACAAUCUACUGGGAUUAUACCACGCCACAGAUUCUGACAAUGGAGUAUGUUCCAGGGAUUAAAAUAAACAAAAUACAAGCUUUAGAUCAGCUGGGUGUUGACCGCAAAAGGCUAGGGAGAUAUGCUGUUGAAUCAUAUUUGGAACAAAUUCUAUCACAUGGUUUCUUCCAUGCUGACCCUCAUCCUGGAAAUAUUGCUGUCGAUGAUGUCAAUGGUGGAAGAUUGAUCUUUUACGAUUUUGGAAUGAUGGGGAGUAUCAGUCCAAACAUCCGAGAAGGAUUGCUUGAAGCAUUUUAUGGAGUUUAUGAGAAAAAUCCAGAUAAGGUUCUUCAAUCAAUGAUUCAAAUGGGUGUUCUUGUCCCUACUGGAGAUAUGACUGCUGUUAGACGAACAGCGCAAUUCUUCCUUAACAGUUUUGAAGAACGCCUGGCUGCACAAAGGAGGGAAAAAGAGGAAGCAACAGCUGAACUUGGAUUCAAAAAACCAUUAAGCAAGGAGGAAAAAAUAAGGAAGAAGAAACAACGUCUGGCUGCUAUCGGUGAAGAUUUAUUAUCUAUUGCAGCAGAUCAGCCCUUCCGAUUUCCUGCUACAUUUACAUUUGUUGUUAGAGCCUUCUCAGUGUUGGAUGGCAUUGGAAAGGGCCUUGACCCUCGUUUUGACAUUACUGAGAUUGCCAAACCUUAUGCCUUGGAGUUGCUAAGAUUUCGUGAAGCAGGAGUUGAAGUUAUCCUAAAGGACUUCAGGGUGAGAUGGGAUAGGCAAUCAAAAGCAUUUUACAACUUAUUCAGACAGGCUGAUAGGGUUGACAAGCUUGCUGAAAUCAUCCAAAGAUUGGAGCAAGGUGAUCUAAAGCUCCGAGUUCGAACUUUGGAAUCUGAGAGGGCAUUCCAACGUGUUGCUGCAGUCCAGAAGACAAUAGGGAAUGUGCCCAUGCAUCCAGGUGUAUAUGUUCAUAUAUUGCAAUGGUUUAACCAUUGGAGGCCCACCUUUUAACAUACUUAUAAUCACAAUCGCAUUUUCUUUUUAAUUUCUUCUACAACUUUUAAAUGACUGAUGGAUGUGUAUGCAUAGUUGUCAACUCUGGACACAUUUCCAUGCUUUUAUGCACACAUCCAUUAUAAGCGACAUUGUUGAAACUUGGAAUUAUUGAGUUUUAGGUAAAGAGGGAGUGAUUAGAGAGAAAAAAGACUUCAAAUAAUAGUUGUUAUUCCUGUAGUGUGAGGUAUUACAAUAAUAUGUAUUGUAAUGGUAAAACCUAAAACAAUACAUAGAAUAAGGAAACAAAUCAUAGAAUAUCUAAUUUCGAGUAAUAAUUUCUGAGAUAGCCAGUAUUCUAAGAUUUAAUAUUUUCAUAUCAUGAGAUAUUCGAACACAAAUUUUUUUAAUCUUUGUUCAGUUAAUGAAUAAAUUAUUAUAGGAGAGACAUGGAAAACCUGCUGGGAUGAUACAAAUUCAUUUACCUUUUUGUCAAUUAACAGGCAGUAGCUGCGGGGAGCCUAAUAAAUCUAGCAACAGUUUUUUAUCUCAAUUCACUUCGUAUGCCUGCUAUUGUGGCAUACAUCUUCUGUGCAUUUUUUGGUUUUCAAGUGCUCUUGGGCAUUAUAAAGGUUAAGAAGCUAGAUGAACGGGAACGAUUGAUAACAGGAACUGCAUAAGCAGCUAGUAGAUUUAAGGUUGAUGUAUUGCACAUGUUAAGGUCAUGAUUACGAAUCACCUUCCAGAACAUGAGUAGAAUUAUGACUUCAAGAGCUGAUAAAAAGUAACACCCAACAUUUGGGAAGACCUUCAAGUACAAAAACUUUCAAUUAGCAAAUGGUGGAGGUUUUUUCUAUUCACCUGUUUGUUGGUAAAAAGAUUGAGCUCUGCAGUAGCCAAUAGGCUUAGCCACAUUUUUGUCAUUACCCCCGCCCCAAAAAUAAUUAAAAAUUAUAAGUCAUUGCGGCAUAGUAACUUAUACAGGAUGAUGCACGGUUUGUAUAUAUAUUCACAAUUACGUCCCACGCUUGUAUUUAACUAAAUUCUGUAAAAAAUCUAUCUAGUUUUUUCUAUUUAUCAUGAGUUGUACUUAC